rnacentral:tRNA from 2 species
GCGAGCGUGGCGGAACUGGUAGACGCGCUAGACUUAGGAUCUAGUACCUUAGGGUGUGGGGGUUCAAGUCCCUUCGCUCGCA